CCUACGGGAUGCAGCAGUGGGGAAUAUUUGGCAAUGGGCGCAAGCCUGACCCAGCAAUGCCGCGUGAAGGAAGAAGGCUUUCGGGUUGUACACUUCUUUGACAGGGGAAGAGCAGAAGACGGUACCCUGAAAACAAGCCACGGCUAACUACGUGCCAGCAGCCGCGGUAAUACGUAGGUGGCAAGCGUUGUCCGGAUUUACUGGGUGUAAAGGGCGUGUAGCCGGGAAGGCAAGUCAGAUGUGAAAUCUGGAGGCUCAACCUCCAAAUUGCAUUUGAAACUGUUUUUCUUGAGUACUGGAGAGGCAGACGGAAUUCCUUGUGUAGCGGUGAAAUGCGUAGAUAUAAGGAGGAACACCAGUGGCGAAGGCGGUCUGCUGGACAGCAACUGACGGUGAGGCGCGAAAGCGUGGGGAGCAAACAGGAUUAGAUACCCCUGUAGUC
rnacentral:rRNA from 1 species